rnacentral:rRNA from 1 species
GACGAACGCUGGCGGCGUGCUUAACACAUGCAAGUCGAACGGUAAGGCCCCAGCUUGCUGGGGUACACGAGUGGCGAACGGGUGAGUAACACGUGGGUGACCUGCCCCGCACUUCGGGAUAAGCCUGGGAAACUGGGUCUAAUACCGGAUGCGACCGCACCGUGAGGGUGUGGUGGAAAGUUUUUCGGUGUGGGAUGGGCCCGCGGCCUAUCAGCUUGUUGGUGGGGUAAUGGCCUACCAAGGCGGCGACGGGUAGCCGGCCUGAGAGGGUGGACGGCCACAUUGGGACUGAGACACGGCCCAGACUCCUACGGGAGGCAGCAGUGGGGAAUAUUGCACAAUGGGCGGAAGCCUGAUGCAGCGACGCCGCGUGGGGGAUGACGGCCUUCGGGUUGUAAACUCCUUUCACCAUCGACGAAGGUUUUCUGACGGUAGAUGGAGAAGAAGCACCGGCUAACUACGUG